UGCAGUAAAGUAAGUUGUCUAGCUUGUUCAAGUAGAUGUUAGCUGGUAGACUGGUAAUCCUGUCAGCUUGGUUGAACUGCUCCAAACCCGGGAGCUGUUCACAAGAGCUGAGUGAAGACUCUGGCCCACAUGCAGCUCCUGCCGGGGUUUGUUCAGGUUUGGCAGGUCUUGCAGCUAAUCAGGAUACACCGUGGUGUGCAUGCAGGCGGCAAUUCUGCACAGACCUCCAGGCGGCCGUACUAAUGGUGUAACUAUUCCCGCACGUCAGUGGGUGGAGAUGAUCAGUGGAGGUGAUCAACCUCAGGGCUCUGUCUCAAGCCUUGCUGGCUAUGGCCACAGUACCCGUGCGAGCAGCCCAACGACAGGUACAUUGUCACAAGGAAAUACAUCAUGUAGGCAAGUGAUACCCGGCACGGUGAUCAUGGUACCAGGGUCAACCACUAGUGUAUCUGUUUGUGAGCGACAGAGUGGACCUUGAUUACUCUGUUAAUACUGGCAGGGCUCUCUAUUUGCUGUCAAAGGGAUAUUGGUGUGCAAGGGUUACAUCACUUUCCUAUCUGUGACCACACUCCAUGCCUACUGCUCUCUUGGAAUGGCAAACGCCUGGUGUGGUCUCCUGCUCUCUAAACAUAGUGCUGCCAUUGAUUUCGGACGAAAGGGUCAUUUUCACCGACAAAGUGAGUUUGUUGAGUGCUGGCCAGUUCCUGAUGAGUUCUGUGCUUCCGGGUAUGAUUGCCCCGGGGGGAGGAAUAAGCAAAGCGACUGCACGAGUUGCUGCGAACGUUGCUUCGUCACCCCUGAAAACGAACCUAUUUUCAUUAGGUGUGUGUGUGUGC